CGGAGUCACAUGUUCUCUAUUCUCCAUUUUGUCUUUUGACUUUAGGCAGAACUUCGCCUGAACUCUGCAAUCGACCAUAAACACACGUUUCUACAAUGAAUCAGGAAACACCUAUCCCACCCCCCUCCUCCCUCUCCUUCCAACCCUCCUCCCCCCUCCCCCUCUUGAGGUCCCCAGGUUGUGCCUCUCCUGGUAACUUACUGCUGGGUCUGAAGAGGGUGUCUGUGCUGCUGGUCGACUGCAGGAAAACACCGGGACGGAGGGACAGCCCUAACCG